rnacentral:misc_RNA from 1 species
CACCAAUUCUUGCAUGGCCAAGCAAUGGAAUGAGAAUAGAGGUUGAGAAAAAGAAUUUGGCAGAAAACUACAAUGAUGGUCAGAGGAAGGGCUAAUGGUUCGUUGAAACUGUUGAUUAUAGCUUCAUCAAAUUUCGUCAACCAAGCAAGAUUGUGUGACAUUGUUUUCUUUCAAUUUUUUUCCUGGUUGGAUUUGUACCUCUUCCGUACUUCUAACACACACAUGGCCUAACUUUUUAGGCACACAUGGCAAAACAGCCACUUGAUUUUACCCCAUGGGGACCCCCAUAAAGUUGUAGACUGAUUUUCAAAUUUGAUGAAGCU